rnacentral:rRNA from 14 species
GAAGCGCAUACGGUGGAUGCCUUGGCAGUCAGAGGCGAUGAAAGACGUGGUAGCCUGCGAAAAGCUUCGGGGAGUCGGCAAACAGACUGUGAUCCGGAGAUGUCUGAAUGGGGGAACCCAGCUGUCAUAAGACAGUUACCUUACACUGAAUACAUAGGUGUAUGGAGCGAACCAGGGGAACUGAAACAUCUAAGUACCCUGAGGAAAAGAAAUCAACCGAGAUUCCCUUAGUAGUGGCGAGCGAACGGGGACCAGCCCUUAAGUUGAUUUGAGAUUAGCGGAACGCUCUGGAAAGUGCGGCCAUAGUGGGUGAUAGCCCUGUACGCGAAAAUCUCUUGUCAAUGAAAUCGAGUAGGACGGGGCACGAGAAACCUUGUCUGAACAUGGGGGGACCAUCCUCCAAGGCUAAAUACUAGUAAUCGACCGAUAGUGAACCAGUACCGUGAGGGAAAGGCGAAAAGAACCCCGGGAGGGGAGUGAAAUAGAUCCUGAAACCGCAUGCAUACAAAAAGUCGGAGCCGCAAGGUGACGGCGUACCUUUUGUAUAAUGGGUCAGCGACUUACAUUCAGUGGCGAGGUUAACCGAAUAGGGAAGCCGUAGAGAAAUCGAGUCCGAACAGGGCGACAGUCGCUGGGUGUAGACCCGAAACCAGGUGAUCUACCCAUGGCCAGGAUGAAGGUGCGGUAACACGCCCUGGAGGUCCGAACCCACUAAUGUUGAAAAAUUAGGGGAUGAGCUGUGGGUAGGGGUGAAAGGCUAAACAAA